GGAAACUUGAGAAUCACAGAAAAAGGUCUAAAGCUAGAAGGAGACUCAGAAUUCUUGCAACCUCUCUACGCCAAAGAAAUCCAGUCCCGACCAGGUAAUGCCCUUUACUUCAAAUCUGCCAGAAAUGUUACAGUGAACAUUCUCAAUGACCAGAGUAAAGUGCUAACUCAGCUGAUAACAGGUCCAAAAGCCAUAGUAGCUUACGGCAAAAAGUUUGAAGUAAAGACAGUUUCUGGAAAAUUGCUCUUCUCUGCAGAUAACAAUGAAGUGGUAGUAGGAGCUGAGAGAUUAAGAG